GGCCCGGUGGUGGAAUGGUAGACACAGCGGAUUCAAAAUCCGCCGGUAGCAAUACUGUGCGAGUUCAAGUCUCGCCCGGGCCA
rfam:Bacteriovorax marinus SJ genome.